rnacentral:tRNA from 1 species
CGGCUUGAUUGGCGAGGCCGAGCGAACGACGGCCCAAAAUCCGCGCUCCUGGCGGUCGUCCACCGCAAGCCGCCCGUUCCAGACUCAGGCCAGGCCGAC